CACUAGUGAUGAGAUGCGUGCAGUCUCCUGUUUAAUACCCUGCAGUCCCCAGCUAUGAAGAUGUACUCCGCUGCUUAAGAACAGGAAAAGGAGAGCUGGGGACAGCUGGCCAUGUGGUUUCUUGGAAAAGCAGGAUAAACAGUGAUGACAGCAUGAGCCCUGGAUUCUGACAGCUUAUGUCAGAUUCCUACUCUGUUCACUUACCAGAAGUCUCCUGUUACACUGAAGCUCUGUCCAGACGAUUCUAAAAAUAGCCCGAUGGAAUCCUGUGGUUGGAAGAAACUGUGAGAGGUCACUGAGUCCGUCCCUCGCCUGCAGAAGGGCACUGGCGUGCAGUCCAGCGUCGGUGCUAUUGGAUACCCCAGAGCCAGGCCAACAGGGAACGGGUCUGAGGCCACUGGCAUGGCUGGCAUCUUGGUCUAAUAAUAAUCAGCCCAGACCCUGCCAACACAAGGCUGGCUCACCAAACUACCUGCCGAUAUGGCUUCUCUCCGGUCUUUCCAUUUCAUGGAUGUCCCACAGCCAACCAAUCCCAAACAAGCUCUUAUCUGCAUUUCUGAGCAUCUGAGAAUUAAAGGAAUUUAUUC
ensembl:lncRNA